CCUACGGGGGGCUGCAGUGAGGAAUAUUGGUCAAUGGACGAGAGUCUGAACCAGCCAAGUAGCGUGAAGGAUGACUGCCCUAUGGGUUGUAAACUUCUUUUAUAAAGGAAUAAAACGAGGCACGUGUGCCUUUUUGCAUGUACUUUAUGAAUAAGGAUCGGCUAACUCCGUGCCAGCAGCCGCGGUAAUACGGAGGAUCCGAGCGUUAUCCGGAUUUAGUGGGUUUAAAGGGAGCGUAGAUGGGUUGUUAAGUCAGUUGUGAAAGUUUGCGGCUCAACCGUAAAAUUGCAAUUGAUACUGGCAGUCUUGAGUACAGUUGAGGUAGGCGGAAUUCGUGGUGUAGCGGUGAAAUGCUUAGAUAUCACGAAGAACCCCGAUUGCGAAGGCAGCUUACUAAACUGUGACUGACAUUGAUGCUCGAAAGUGUGGGUAUCAAACAGGAUUAGAUACCCUUGUAGUC
rnacentral:rRNA from 1 species